GAUGAACGCUGGCGGCGUGCUUAACACAUGCAAGUCGAACGGAGUUUACAUGUGAGCGGAGGGUGCUUGCAUCUAACAAUCUUUUGUAAACUUAGUGGCGGACGGGUGAGUAACGCGUGGGUAACCUGCCGUAUACAGGGGGACAACAGUUGGAAACGACUGCUAAUACCGCAUAAGCGCACAGGACCGCAUGGUCCGGUGUGAAAAACUCCGGUGGUAUACGAUGGACCCGCGUCUGAUUAGCUAGUUGGUGAGGUAACGGCCCACCAAGGCGACGAUCAGUAGCCGGCCUGAGAGGGUGGACGGCCACAUUGGGACUGAGAUACGGCCCAGACUCCUACGGGAGGCAGCAGUGGGGAAUAUUGGGCAAUGGGCGCAAGCCUGACCCAGCAACGCCGCGUGAAGGAAGAAGGCUUUCGGGUUGUAAACUUCUUUUGUCAGGGAAGAGUAGAAGACUGUACCUGGCGAAUAAGCCACGGCUAACUACGUG
rnacentral:rRNA from 1 species